rnacentral:rRNA from 1 species
UACGUAGGGAGCAAGCGUUGUCCGGAAUCAUUGGGCGUAAAGCGCGCGUAGGCGGCCCUGUAAGUCCGUUGUGAAAGUCAAAGGCUCAACCUUUGAAAGCCGAUGGAUACUGCCGGGCUAGAGUCCGGAAGAGGAGAGUGGAAUUCCUGGUGUAGCGGUGAAAUGCGCAGAUAUCAGGAAGAACACCCGUGGCGAAGGCGGCUCUCUGGUACGUGACUGACGCUGAGACGCGAAAGCGUGGGGAGCGAACAGG